GACGAACGCUGGCGGCGUGCUUAACACAUGCAAGUCGAACGGAAAGGCCCUGCUUUUGUGGGGUGCUCGAGUGGCGAACGGGUGAGUAACCCGUGAGUAACCUGCCCUUGACUUUGGGAUAACUUCAGGAAACUGGGGCUAAUACCGGAUAGGAGCUCCUGCUGCAUGGUGGGGGUUGGAAAGUUUCGGCGGUUGGGGAUGGACUCGCGGCUUAUCAGCUUGUUGGUGGGGUAGUGGCUUACCAAGGCUUUGACGGGUAGCCGGCCUGCGAGGGUGACCGGCCACAUUGGGACUGAGAUACGGCCCAGACUCCUACGGGAGGCAGCAGUGGGGAAUAUUGCACAAUGGGCGGAAGCCUGAUGCAGCAACGCCGCGUGCGGGAUGACGGCCUUCGGGUUGUAAACCGCUUUCGCCUGUGACGAAGCGUGAGUGACGGUAAUGGGUAAAGAAGCACCGGCUAACUACGUG
rnacentral:rRNA from 1 species